GAUGAACGCUGGCGGCGUGCCUAAUACAUGCAAGUCGAGCGAACAGAUGAGGAGCUUGCUCCUCUGACGUUAGCGGCGGACGGGUGAGUAACACGUGGAUAACCUACCUAUAAGACUGGGAUAACUUCGGGAAACCGGAGCUAAUACCGGAUAAUAUAUUGAACCGCAUGGUUCAAUAGUGAAAGACGGUUUUGCUGUCACUUCUAGAUGGAUCCGCGCCGCAUUAGCUAGUUGGUAAGGUAACGGCUUACCAAGGCAACGAUGCGUAGCCGACCUGAGAGGGUGAUCGGCCACACUGGAACUGAGACACGGUCCAGACUCCUACGGGAGGCAGCAGUAGGGAAUCUUCCGCAAAGGGCGAAAGCCUGACGGAGCAACGCCGCGUGAGUGAUGAAGGUCUUCGGAUCGUAAAACUCUGUUAUUAGGGAAGAACAAAUGUGUAAGUAACUAUGCACGUCUUGACGGUACCUAAUCAGAAAGCCACGGCUAACUACGUG
rnacentral:rRNA from 1 species